GACGAACGCUGGCGGCGUGCCUAAUACAUGCAAGUCGAACGCUUUUUCUUUCACCGGAGCUUGCUCCACCGAAAGAAAAAGAGUGGCGAACGGGUGAGUAACACGUGGGUAACCUGCCCAUCAGAAGGGGAUAACACUUGGAAACAGGUGCUAAUACCGUAUAACACUAUUUUCCGCAUGGAAGAAAGUUGAAAGGCGCUUUUGCGUCACUGAUGGAUGGACCCGCGGUGCAUUAGCUAGUUGGUGAGGUAACGGCUCACCAAGGCAACGAUGCAUAGCCGACCUGAGAGGGUGAUCGGCCACACUGGGACUGAGACACGGCCCAGACUCCUACGGGAGGCAGCAGUAGGGAAUCUUCGGCAAUGGACGAAAGUCUGACCGAGCAACGCCGCGUGAGUGAAGAAAGGUUUUUCGGAUCGUAAAACUUCUUCUUUUUAGAGA
rnacentral:rRNA from 1 species